rnacentral:rRNA from 1 species
CCCUUAGAUGUCCUGGGCUGCACGCGCGCUACACUGAUGUGUCCAGUAAGCACCUAACCUCUUCCGAAAGGAACGGGUAACCUUUGCAAAGCACAUCGUGAUUGGGAUAGAUUAUUGCAAUUAUUAGUCUUGAACGAGGAAUUCCUAGUAAGCACAAGUCAUCAGCUUGUGUUGAUUACGUCCCUGCCCUUUGUACACACCGCCCGUCGCUCCUACCGAUUGAAUGUUCCGGUGAGCUCUUCGGACUGCGCGGUCUGCAGUUUCUGCGUUCCGUGCGGAAAGUUGCGCAAACCUUAACAUUUAGAGGAAGGAGAAGUCGUAACA